AGUCAUGUCGGCCAGGUGCUCCCCAGGCUAGCACUGCCCCGCCCCUGCGUGAUCCGGGAUGGGAGUUUGGAAACUGCUCCCCAUAGGCGGCCGGAGAGGAACGUGAAUCUUUGUCUGUUUCACUCCUCAGCAGCUCACUCUUGGCCCCAGGAGGAAAACGAGAAGGUUAACCAGGCAUAACCCGGAGGUGUAAGUCAGAGAGACAGGGUCUCACUGCAUGCCUGUAGUGCCAGCUACUCAGGAGACUGAGGUGGGAGGAUCUCUUGAGCCCAGGAGGUCGAGGUGGCAGUGGCCCAUGAUUGCAUCACUGUACUCAGUCUGUGAGUAUCUCAAAACAAACAAACAAACAAACAAACAAGGAAAUGGGCACUAAGGGAAAGAAGAGGUUUCUUCUUAAGGCCUGGGGCCAAGCCAAGCCAUCCUCUCUGAGUUUCCUAGGGAGGGGUUCUUCUCUAGCUGCCUGGGUUUGGAAAGAGACCCAGGAAAGGGAAAACAAAAUAAGAAAAGGACAUGCGGUGCAUAGUCAGGAGCUUAGAUCCUCUCCCCCAGCUUGCAGUCUGCUUUCCAGCCCUUGGCCCUGACUCCCAGAAGCCUCUGGCUGUGCUAACAUCCCCAUCAAAUGUGCCUCCAUGCCUCCUCCAUACUCCAUCCCCAUAGUUUUUAUGGGGAAGCACUAUUGGUGCAUCCUAAAUAACAUAGAAAUAAAUAGGGCAAAAUGGGAAAGUUCCCCUCACCGACCCCCACUUCCGCUCCCUUGCUCAGAAAUAACCUGAUAAUAGUUUAGUGUGUAUCCUUCAAGACCUUUCUCCCCCUCCUCCUCCCCCUCGUCCUCCCCCUCCUCCUCCUCCUUCUUCCUAGAUGUUUUUCUAUCAGCUUAUCAAGUCUAACAUGUGAAAUAGUGUGUGCCUGUGUGUACAUACAAAUUGUUUUAAUCCAUACAUGGGAUCAUGCUAUAUGUAGUUUUCUCCAACUUGCUUUUAUCAUUAACAACAUAGCAUAAACUUCUUUCCAUGGUGGUUAAUAUAGAGCUGCCUCAUUUCUUUUCAUGGCUGUGUGAUAAUCCAUGGUAUAUGAUUAUAUAUAAUUUUUUUUUUUGAGACAGAAUCUCACUCUGUUGCCCAAGCUGGAGGUCAGUGUUGUGAUCUCAGCUCACUGCAACCUCCACCUCACGGGUUCAAGUGAUUCUCCUCCUGCCUCAGCCUCCGGAGUAGUUGGGACUACAGGCGCAUGCCACCAUGCCCAGCUAAUUUUUGUAUUUUAGUAGAGACGGGGUUUCACCAUGUUGGCCAGGUUGGUCUCGAACUCCUGACCUCAAGUGAUCCACCUGCCUCAGCCUCCUAAGGUGCUGGGAUUACAGGCGUGAGCCACCGCACCCAGCUGAUUAUAUAUAAUUUAACACUUCCUGUUGCUGGAUGUUUUCGUCGUUUCUCUUUUUCUCUUUGAUGACAAUGCUAUAAUGAACACCUUUGUAUAUGUCUUUGUGCCAUCUACCUGGCUUUGAGUAUUGCCACUGCAGAAAAUUCCUGAUGUUGGGCCCCAAUUAAGCAAGCAGACUCCAAGCUAUCUCUGCUGCCCCCAGGACUCCUUUAGACUCUGGCAGAACAGCAGCCUGCCUCAGUUCCCACACUAUGAUCCUGCACGUGUGGUUGAAGACACACCUGUGGCACAGCCUGCCAGAGUUCUGAAAACUGCCCCCUGCCCCAUCAUGGAGAGGUGCAAAAAUUACAGACACAUAUCCUGUGUCCCUCUGUCCGCUGGGAGGAAGAGCGUCAACUCCUCCGAAAGCAAUCUAGCUGGAGAAAGUGUGCAAGUGGAUUUCUAGCAAUGUUUUUCAGGAUUUUUACUCUUUUGUUCGUGGGAUGGGAGAGAAUCAGUGAGAUAGAGGAUACAAGGAGCUCAAGUGGCAGUAGCAGUCCAAGCCAGCAGUGUGUAUGUGUGUGUAUGUGUGUAUGUUUUGUGUAUAUAUGCAUGUGUGUGUAUUAUGUGGGUAUGUGUGCAUGCGUGUGUGUGUGUGUGUGUGAAUGUCUACAUAUAUGUGCGUGUGUGCGUGUGUGUAUAUGUGUGUACGUGUGUACGUGUGUGGGUGUAUGUGUGCACAUGUGUGUAUAUGUGUGUGUAUGUGUGUUUUUUUUAUGUGUAUGUGUGGUGUGUAGCCAUGAACAGAGACAGCCAAUCCCUGAAGGAAUAUGUUGUACUUUUGUCCUUUAAUAUUUUCAAGCCUGCUGGUCCUGCAAAAAGCAGUAAGAGCUAAUGAGAAGCAGGUGUACUUAGGGAAACAGGAAAUCUGGUUCCAUUUAUGACUUCACCGCGGCCUGCCAUGGAGUUUUGAGCAGCUUUAGUUUGCUGCUCCGUUUCUCAUCUCUGUCUUCUCUGGAGGUGCCAUCUGCACCAUUAGGAUGCAGGAGUUGGCUUUCUUGCUUUUCCUGAAAACAGUACUAGUGCCAUUGGCUGUUAAAAGUGGGAUAUGGGCCAGGUGCGAUGGCUCACACCUGUAAUCCCAACACUUUG
rnacentral:lncRNA from 1 species